rnacentral:rRNA from 1 species
CCUACGGGGGGCAGCAGUGAGGAAUAUUGGUCAAUGGACGAGAGUCUGAACCAGCCAAGUAGCGUGAAGGAUGACUGCCCUAUGGGUUGUAAACUUCUUUUAUAUGGGAAUAAAAUGUUCCACGUGUGGGAUUUUGUAUGUACCAUAUGAAUAAGGAUCGGCUAACUCCGUGCCAGCAGCCGCGGUAAUACGGAGGAUCCGAGGGUUAUCCGGAUUUAUUGGGUUUAAAGGGAGCGUAGGUGGAUUGUUAAGUCAGUUGUGAAAGUUUGCGGCUCAACCGUAAAAUUGCAGUUGAAACUGGCAAUCUUGAGUACAGUAGAGGUGAGCAGAAUUCGUGGUGUAGCGGUGAAAUGCUGAGAGAUCACGAAGAACUCCGAUUGCGAAGGCAGUUCACUGGACUGCAACUGACACUGAGGCUCGAAAGUGUGGGUAUCAAACAGGAUUAGAUACCCGUGUAGUC